rnacentral:tRNA from 1 species
GGAGAGGUGCCUGAGUGGUCGAAAGGGGCCGCCUGCUAAGCGGUUAACCGGGGUCAACCCGGUUCGAGGGUUCAAAUCCCUUCCUCUCCG